AGCCCAAGCGGUAGAAUACACCAAAAUGCAAAUUUGGAGACGUACCCAGAAGGUGCCGGGGCUUCUCCCGUCUUGCGUUAAACGGGAGAAGC
rnacentral:tRNA from 1 species